UAUGGGAUACUGAGAGGAAUAGCAGAUUCUCUGUCAUAAGGAUACAAUGAGAAGUGAGCAGCUUGCAACCAGAAAGAGUCUUCAAUAGAACUGCUGAUUCCUGAUAUUGGAAUUCCAGGGAGAAUUAAGAUGGUGGAGUGGUAGGAGGACCUUAUGUUUGUCUCAUUCCUCAAACACAGCUAGAUAAAUACCGAAUCAUUCUGAACACCCAGGAAAUCAAUCUGAGGAUUGAGAGAAAAGAGGCCACAUCAAGGAAGGAAGAACUGCUUAAAGGGCAUGGCAUAAAAUCUGAUAAGAAGAUAUCUUUCUGUUAGGCAAAAUGUUUAUCAAUACUAAUGUUAUCUUAGCAACCUCCUGUUCUGAAGUACUUAAGAAAAUUUAUGUACUAUGCCUUAGGGGAUUAUACAAACUGGAAAGCUGUCUUUCUAAGACCCAUCUUCAAAGGGGAGACUGGAUAACUGAGUUUCCAGAAUUCCUUGACAGAAACAUAAAGAAUCAUAGAAAAAUGGAGCUUCCAACUCAAAGGGAGGCAAAACAUAAGGAAAGAUAGGAGCACUAGAACAGAUAUUCCCUUAUCCUUCUGUUCUAGAACAAAUUUCCAAAGUCCCUAUAUACUGAAAUUCUACUUAAUGGAAAAAAGUACAUGCUCUGUAACAUGCACUCAUCAAGUUUAUUCAUUUUUAGCAACAAAUUAGAAGUGGAAUUUAUGGUAAAUGACUGUAUGUCUUCAAGAUGAUGUAGGUCAUAAGAACACAUAAGUAGAGAGAGAAUAUAAUUUCAUCCCAUAAGGUUAAUGAGUAGGCUUGAAUGAAAAUGAGCCAGAAAUAGAGCCAUUGCUCUACUAUACCAUGUAGGCUUAGCAGAAAAGUAUAACAGAAUUAGUCAACAGCAUAAAUCAUAAUGUAGAAUUCACCUAUUAGAAGAUAGAUAAUGCUGGAGAUAUUGAGAGAGUAUAAAGUUCGAGAAGAAUCUUUCAUCAGAAGCCUGGAACUAUGCUUUCCUGAUAGCCUUCACACUUGUGACAAAAGAGAGUGUUGUAUAUAACUAUAUGCAUUUUGUGGAAUUACUAAAGAGAGUUAGAUUGCUUUUAUAAAAGAAAGGAAGUCCAAUAAGAUAUAUAUGGAAUAGAUGGGAGAGCUCAGGCAGUGCAAUUUUCAGCCCCAUUUACUCUGCAACCUUCAUGGUCUGACGUAAGUACAGGUCAAACAAUGGAGCCUAUGCUGGGCAUUACCACUAGAUGCAUAGGAUUGAACAUGCUAGAGACAUUAGUUAUGGGAGUUAAAUUAUCAGAUAAAUGCAAGUGGGCUUUAGAGCAUUUGUAGGGCCCAUCUUUGAGAGCCUGCAUGAAGCCAAACACAAGGAAGGAAGUUUGUCUGGGCCUGAUGGUUCCUGGCACUUCCAGCAGGGUGGAAACACUAAGGAAACAAUCCAUUUCUGAGUAACCUAGGGAAGGAUGAUACUUCUACUUUGGGCAUAAGACAGGGGAUCUUUAUUACGGAUAGUACAGAAUUGUUAGAGAAGGUUUGGAAGAAUAUCAAACAAGUACUACUGGAAGCCAUCUGUGCUAGGGCUGACUAAAAUACUGUUAGAGGCCUAAGACCCCCAAUCCUAUUCCUGACUUCCCCAUAAAUACUCUCAAAUGCAUUUCUCUUUCAGAAUAACAAUCAUGUUACAAUGAACAAAGGCUAUUAGAAAGAUAUGGGAAUAUUCAUGAUUUAAAUCAGAGUUUGGCAGAUUAUGUCUUGUGGAGUAAUUCUGCUCCAUUACCCAUUUUUGAAAUAAAAACAUAGGGAACAUAGGGGGUACCUGGUUGGCUCAGUCAGUUAAGCAUCUGCCUUUGGCUCAGGUUAUGAUCCUAGGAUCC